UACGAGGGGUGCAAACGUUAUUCGGAUUUAUUGGGCGUAAAGGGUGUGUAGACGGUUUAUUAAGUUCGUUGUUAAAACUUUCGGCCUAACUGAAAGCUUGCGGUGAAAACUGAUAGACUAGAGGAUGAGAGAGAGGAGUGGAAUUCUCGGAGUAGCGGUAAAAUGCGUAGAUCUCGAGAGGAACACCGAUGGCGAAAGCAGCUCCUUGGCUCAUUCCUGACGUUGAAACACGAAAGCGUGGGGAGCAAACAGG
rnacentral:rRNA from 1 species